rnacentral:rRNA from 1 species
GAUGAACGCUGGCGGCGUGCCUAAUACAUGCAAGUCGAGCGAACAGACGAGGAGCUUGCUCCUUUGACGUUAGCGGCGGACGGGUGAGUAACACGUGGGUAACCUACCUAUAAGACUGGGAUAAAUUCGGGAAACCGGAGCUAAUACCGGAUAAUAUUUCGAACCGCAUGGUUCGAUAGUGAAAGAUGGCUUUGCUAUCACUUAUAGAUGGACCUGCGCCGUAUUAGCUAGUUGGUAAGGUAACGGCUUACCAAGGCAACGAUACGUAGCCGACCUGAGAGGGUGAUCGGCCACACUGGAACUGAGACACGGUCCAGACUCCUACGGGAGGCAGCAGUAGGGAAUCUUCCGCAAUGGGCGAAAGCCUGACGGAGCAACGCCGCGUGAGUGAUGAAGGUCUUCGGAUCGUAAAACUCUGUUAUUAGGGAAGAAUAAACGUGUAAGUAACUGUGCACGUCUUGACGGUACCUAAUCAGAAAGCCACGGCUAACUACGUG